AACUUAAAGGAAUUGACGGGGACCCGCACAAGCAGCGGAGCGUGUGGUUUAAUUCGUUGCUACACGAAGAACCUUACCUAGGUUUUGACAUAUAGGUUGUAGGGAACUGAAAAGGGACCGACCCUUCGGGGAGCCUAUACAGGUGUUGCAUGGCUGUCGUCAGCUCGUGUCGUGAGAUGUUCGGUUAAGUCCGCUAACGAGCGCAACCCUCGUCGUAUGUUACAAGUGUCAUACGAGACUGCCGGUAAAAAGUCGGAGGAAGGUGAGGAUGAUGUCAAGUCAGCAUGACCUUUAUAUCUAGGGCUACACACACGCUACAAUGGUCUGUACAAUGGGUUGCCAAGCCGCGAGGCGGAGCCAAUCCUAAAAAGCAGGCCUCAGUUCAGAUUGCAGUCUGCAACUCGACUCCAUGAAGUUGGAAUCGCUAGUAAUCGCAGAUCAGCACGCUGCGGUGAAUACGUUCCCGGGCCUU
rnacentral:rRNA from 1 species